UACGAAGGGGGCUAGCGUUGCUCGGAAUCACUGGGCGUAAAGGGUGCGUAGGCGGGUCUUUAAGUCAGGGGUGAAAUCCGUGGAAGCUCAACUCCAGAACUGCCCUUUGAUACUGAAGAUCUUGAGUUUCGGGAGAGGGUGAGUGGAACUGCGAAGUGUAGAGGUGAAAUUCGUAGAUAUUCGCAAGAACAUCAGUGGCGAAGGCGGCUACCUGGCCCAAUACUGACACUCAGGUGCGACAGCGUGGGGAGCAAA
rnacentral:rRNA from 1 species